GGAUGUUGGCUCAGAAGCAGCCACCAUUUAAAGAGUGCGUAAUAGCUCACUGGUCCAGGGGUUUUGCGCGGAAAAUGUAACGGGGCUCAAAUCAUUUACCGAAGCUGCGGAAUAUUGCAGAAGCAAUAUUGGUAGAGGAGCGUUCUUAACACGGAGAAGGCAUACCGGAAGGAGUGCUGGAGAGUUAAGAAGUGAGAAUGCAGGUAUAAGUAUGCGAAAAGGCAGGUGAGAAUCCUGCCCGCCGAAAAUCUAAGGAUUCCUGGGGAAGGCUCGUCCGCCCAGGGUAAGUCGGGACCUAAGGCGAGGCCGAAAGGCGUAGUCGAUGGGAAACUGGUAGAUAUUCCAGUACCGCCGCUAAUUGCAUGAGAGAAGUAGUGACGCAGAAGGAUAGGCAGAGCGCCCAGUUGGUGAGGCGUUUAAGUAAGUAGGGUGUGAGACAGGCAAAUCCGUCUCAUGGGAGGCCUGAGAUACGAAUACGAGGGAAAAGAAGUACCGAAGUCGCUGAUUCCCGGCUGCCAAGAAAAGCUGCUAUCGAGAUUAGAGGCGCCCGUACCGCAAACCGACACAGGUAGAUGGGGUGAGAAACCUAAGGCGCGCGAGAAAACUCUUGUUAAGGAACUCGGCAAAAUGACCCCGUAACUUCGGGAGAAGGGUUGCUUAUCAUGGUGAAGGAUGUACAUCUGGAGCUGAGAUAAGUCGCAGAGAAAAGGUCCAGGCGACUGUUUAGCAAAAACACAGGUCAUUGCAAAAGUGAAAACUGAAGUAUAAUGGCUGACGCCUGCCCGGUGCUGGAAGGUUAAGGGGAAGAGUGAGAGCUUUGAACCGAAGCCCCAGUAAACGGCGGCCGUAACUAUAACGGUCCUAAGGUAGCGAAAUUCCUUGUCGGGUAAGUUCCGACCCGCACGAAAGGCGUAACGAUUUGGGCACUGUCUCAACAAUAGACUCGGUGAAAUUGUAAUCCCGGUGAAGAUGCCGGGUACCUGCGACAGGACGGAAAGACCCCAUGGAGCUUUACUGUAGCUUGACGUUGGGUCUUGGUACUACAUGUACAGGAUAGGUGGGAGACUAUGAAGCAUGGACGCCAGUCUGUGUGGAGUCAUCCUUGGGAUACCACCCUUGUAGUACUGGGAUCCUAACCAUAGGCCUUGAAUCAGGUCUUGGAACACCGUCAGGUGGGCAGUUUGACUGGGGCGGUCGCCUCCUAAAAAGUAACGGAGGCGCUCAAAGGUUUCCUCAGCACGGUCGGAAAUCGUGCGAAGAGUGUAAAGGCAAAAGGAAGCUUGAUUGCAAGACAUACAGGUCGAGCAAGGACGAAAGUCGGACUUAGUGAUCCGGUGGUACCGCAUGGAAGGGCCAUCGCUCAACGGAUAAAAGCUACCCUGGGGAUAACAGGCUUAUC
rnacentral:rRNA from 1 species